rnacentral:rRNA from 1 species
UGAUGAGUAGGGCGGGACACGUGGUAUCCUGUCUGAAUAUGGGGGGACCAUCCUCCAAGGCUAAAUACUCCUGACUGACCGAUAGUGAACCAGUACCGUGAGGGAAAGGCGAAAAGAACCCCGGCGAGGGGAGUGAAAAAGAACCUGAAACCGUGUACGUACAAGCAGUGGGAGCACGCUUAGGCGUGUGACUGCGUACCUUUUGUAUAAUGGGUCAGCGACUUAUAUUCUGUAGCAAGGUUAACCGAAUAGGGGAGCCGAAGGGAAACCGAGUCUUAACUGGGCGUUAAGUUGCAGGGUAUAGACCCGAAACCCGGUGAUCUAGCCAUGGGCAGGUUGAAGGUUGGGUAACACUAACUGGAGGACCGAACCGACUAAUGUUGAAAAAUUAGCGGAUGACUUGUGGCUGGGGGUGAAAGGCCAAUCAAACCGGGAGAUAGCUGGUUCUCCCCGAAAGCUAUUUAGGUAGCGCCUCG